GAUGAACGCUGGCGGCGUGCCUAAUACAUGCAAGUCGAGCGAACGGACGAGAAGCUUGCUUCUCUGAUGUUAGCGGCGGACGGGUGAGUAACACGUGGAUAACCUACCUAUAAGACUGGGAUAACUUCGGGAAACCGGAGCUAAUACCGGAUAAUAUUUUGAACCGCAUGGUUCAAUAGUGAAAGACGGUCUUGCUGUCACUUAUAGAUGGAUCCGCGCUGCAUUAGCUAGUUGGUAAGGUAACGGCUUACCAAGGCAACGAUGCAUAGCCGACCUGAGAGGGUGAUCGGCCACACUGGAACUUGGACACGGGCCAGACUCCUACGGGGAGCAGCAGUAGGGAAUCUUCCGCAAUGGGCGAAAGCCUGACGGAGCAACGCCGCGUGAGUGAUGAAGGUCUUCGGAUCGUAAAACUCUGUUAUUAGGGAAAAACAAAUGUGUAAGUAACUGUGCACAUCUUGACGGUACCUAAUCAGAAAGCCACGGCUAACUACGUG
rnacentral:rRNA from 1 species